rnacentral:pre_miRNA from 1 species
AGUAGAAGCCAAAAGGAUGUGAGUAUUUUUGAAAUCCACCUCCCUUUGGCUUCUACUAC